UAGAAGCUUGCUCUUUUCUGAAGAGAGGCCAUGAUUGGAUCCAGACGAGACGAGGUGGUGGUGAGAGGGACUAGAAGGUGUAGAGAGAAAGAGAACUGUAAUCCAGAUGAUGUCCACCCAUGUAAAGAAGACAAAAACUAUCAGACUACCAAAACCAAUCGAAAACACAACAGAAAUGGCAACUUCAUCUCCGUUAACAAGUGUUUAAAAAGCCCUGUGAUCUCAAGCUUCUAAUUUAGUCUGCAAAUAUUUGUA